CCACCAGCUCGUUGUGCUACGGGGGGAAGACCGGGCUCAUGAAUCCCUUAGAGCGCCCCCCAGUGGCGACCAGCCGUAAGGCCUCUACCUCCGUAGCAGUAAGGGUUGUUACGGUGGCAGGUCGUUAGGUGGGCAGGUCGAUAGGGUAGUGGAUGUUAGGGUGGUAGUCGCUAGGGUACGGGUCGUUACAGUACGGCUCGUUAGGGUGGCAGGUCGUUAGAGUAGUAGGUCGUUAGGUGGGCAGGUCGUUAGGUGGGCAGGUCGUUACGCUACGAGUCGUUACGGUAACAACCUGUACUGUAACGACCUGUAACCUAAGUGGUCGUUGCUUAUUGAGCUUUUGUUGACAUUUAAUUGAGUUCAUAUGCAUUUCCCUCCCUCUCCAAGCUACGCAGCGUUGACUUCAUGCUCCCCA